CCCCCCCUUUGACAUGAUUCACUUUCCUGACACGACCACAACUUUUCACUGAAGAACUCGAAACCUCGGAAGUGAGGGAGUGGAGAAUCACCUUAAAAGACUGCUCAGCAGGACAUCCCCAUCGGAAAGCCAGGCACGCAAUAAAGACAGACUAUUUAAAACAGACUGGAGCAGAGCUGACAGGCGGCGUGAUACUGAAGAGACAGUUUUCAGGAAGUGCUUGGCUUGUGCAGAGGGAGCUCUACACCACCAGGCUUUCUGCUAUGCAGAGGACUUCCUGCAGUGCCUGUCCUCUGUCCUCUAGACUUCACUAGACCUAGAAAAAGGUAAGCCCUCUGUCUUCAAUAGAGCUGUGUUCUAGUAAUGGUUAAAAAUCACUGUAAACUUAAGAAGAUCUAGAAUAACCUGGGAGAUGGACCUCUGGGCAUGCCCAUGGGGAAUACCCUUGAUUAGGCUAAUUGAUGUGGGGAGAUUCAAUUCUGGGGGUGGGGGUACUAAUCCAUGGGCUGAAAUCCAUGACUCUGAAAGAAGAAAAUGAGCUGAACAUGAGUAUUCAUGGCUUUCUUCCUCAUGACUGUGGACCACUGCUUCAAGUGCCUGCUGCCAUGAUGACCUGUUGCCAUGACGACCUGUUGCCUUGAUGACCAGCCCCUGAAACUGUGAGUCAAAAUGAGCCCUUGCUUCCUUGAAGGAUCCUUUAAGCAACCCAGAAAGAAACAGGAAGCCUGGGAGGCACUUGACUCUGCGGUGACGUGGAGUUAGAGUCCUUUCCCAACAAUUAUUCUUGAAACUUUCUAUCUCAGCCUCUUUUGGAGAUGUAAACGCUCUCCUACAAGUAUUGAGUGCCUACUGCUGCCACUCAAGUGCUUCUGUAGGUAGUGAGGCCUCGGUGAGGGACAAUGGGGGCAGCUGGGCUCCUGUCCUCAUGAAAAUGCACCACCCAGCUCUGAGGGAACGUGGCUAAGAAGUAAAAAAGAAUCUGGUGUCUGAACAGAUGUCUGUAAAUCCUGGCAUUGCAACACUAUGAUGCUCCGUAGCCUAACAGUGGACUUCCUAACGUGGGAAUAGGCUGAACUGUGAAGACAGCUCAAAGGGUAAGGCACUUGCUACCCGAGGGGGCACACAAGCCUGGUGACCUGAGUUUGGCCCCUGAAACUCAUGUAAAGCUGAAAGGAGAACCAGCGUCACAAAGUUUUCCUGUAACCUCUGCAUGCAAGCUGUAGCAAGCAUGCCCAUGCGCAUACAUCGUACACAUACAUGAACAUUUA